rnacentral:lncRNA from 1 species
AACAGGGUCUCACUCUGUCACCCAGGCUGGAGUUCAGUUGUGCAAUCAUGGCUCACUGCAUCAUCAAUCUCCUGGGUCUAAGUGAUCCUCCUCACUUCAGCCUCCGGAGUACCUGGGACCAUAGUGUCAGCUUAAUUUUGUGUAAAUAGUCUGGAAACAUGAUUUUCAUCACAGCAAGCAAAACUUGUAUAGACAUGUUUGUAAGAGGAUAUUUAUACACCACCCCAGGAUGCUCUUUCUCAACUGACAUCACCUGCAUUUAGUCCAUUUCAGUUCUUCCAUGGCUUUAUGUUUUCAGUAGGUUACAUUUUAAAAUUCAUCUGUAAUUUAUUGCAAUAUAAGGUAUAAGACAAAUUGAAUUUUAUUUCCUGAUAAUAUCUUAUUAUAAUUUAUUCAAGAAUUGUUCCUAUCCUCAAUUAUUUUGUAUACAAAUUCAGUUUCUAUUAAAUUAUGCUCCUGAUUCCUUCUGUUUAAUUAAAAUACCUUCCUUUUCACAUUUGUACAAGUGUUAAAAUUAAAUAACGUCUUAUAUGUAAUAAAGUAAGUCUCUAUUCUUUCUAAAAUGUCAAGACAAUUCUCAUCAGCUUUAAAAUUGUAAGUAACCUUUAGAAUCCUAGUGACAAAUACAA